rfam:Oryza glumipatula chromosome 1, whole genome shotgun sequence.
GUCAAGCCAUGAAGUCCUGAGUUUCUGUGUCCAACGUUUAACCGUCCAUCUUAUUUAAAAAAAAUUAAAAAGACAAGUCAUGUAUAAAGCAUUAAUCAUGUUUUAUCAUCUAACAAUAAUAAAAAUACUAAUUAUAAAAAAAAUUUAAAUAAGACGGACGGUCAAACGUUGGACACGGAAAUUCAUGGUUUAUCUUUUU